rnacentral:lncRNA from 1 species
AAAAGAGAUUUACUCUCUUUGUAAUAAAAUAAUAAUGUUGAAUUAAAAUGAAAGCAUUCUCAAUAGUAAAUGGUUUUUCUGACUUGCUUUGUUGAUAAACCUAUGAUUUGAACGUCUUCUGAUUUAUUCUAGCAGCAGUGAUUAGCGUUUUCAAAACAGGAAGCAGAGAUAAUAGGAGACUGCUGUCCCAUAGUCUUAGUGGGAACACAGGGUCUGGUUUAAAGGAGUGUGAUGAAAAGAGAAAGAGGGAAAUAGGAGACUUCAAUGAGGUAUAACCAACCAAACUUGGUAUCUAAUUGGAUAUAGAGGAUAAGGACAACUCUAGGAUGGCUCCAUAAUUUCUUGCUUGUGUGACUGGCUAUUUAAGACAAAAUUUACCAAUAUAAGAGAUGAAGGAGGAUUAGAGAGGCUAGGGAGAAAAGAUAAUGAGGUUUGGACAUUUUUGCCCUGUAGAUAUUGAACUGUCGGUCAGACCUGGGGAUAUAUGAAUUUACUGUUCAGAGGAAAGACAAAGCUGGAGAGAUAUUUGGAAAUGAUCAGUACAAAAUUGGGGAUAGUGCAAAUUUUGGUUGUAAUCACCUAAAGAGUUUAAAGAGAAAAUUAGCUAAGGACCAAACUGACGGGGAAGCUGGGAGGGGGAGGGCAAAAGGAGACCUGAAAGCUACUAAGCAAAACAGAAAUAGGAGGAAAACCAGAAAAGUGAUAUAGGAAACACUAAAGAACUCAAGUUUUAAAACAGAGUCUCUGGUUAAUAGAAAUAAGUACAGCGGAAAGAUCCGGUGAGAGGAGGACUGAGCGGUGAAUAACAGAACUGCCUAUUUGAGUAUCAUUGGUAUCCUAGACGAAAAGUUUCAGCACUGAUGGAGAUGUCAAGGAGGCAGUUAGACACUUGAGCCUAAAGUUUGUGAGUGACUUACGGGCUGGAAAUACGCAUUUGGAAGUGAUUCACCUCUGGAUGGUAUAUAAAGCCAUUGAGAUGGGGUGAGGUCAUUUAGGGGGGACGUGUAGGUAAAGAGA